rnacentral:rRNA from 1 species
UUAGAGAUAGAGGAGUGCUCGAAGAGAGCCGUAACACAGGUGCUGCAUGGCUGUCGUCAGCUCGUGUCGUGAGAUGUUGGGUUAAGUCCCGCAACGAGCGCAACCCUUGUCAUUAGUUGCUACAUUCAGUUGGGCACUCUAAUGAGACUGCCGGUGACAAACCGGAGGAAGUGGGGAUGACGUCAAGUCCUCAUGGCCCUUAUAGGUGGGGCUACACACGUCAUACAAUGGGAUGGUACAAAGGGUCGCCAACCCGCGAGGGGGAGCCAAUCCCAUAAAGCCAUUCGUAGUCCGGAUCGCAGUCUGCAACUCGACUGCGUGAAGUCGGAAUCGCUAGUAAUCGUGGAUCAGAAUGUCACGGUGAAUACGUUCCCGGGUCUU